GGGCUUACGGCAGUGCAGCUUGCUGCCCGCAGGUCGACGAUUCCUACCGGAGGCAGCAGUGGGGAAUAUUGCACAAUGGACGAAACUCUGAUGCAUCAACGCCGCGUGAGGGAAGACGGUUUUCGGAUUGUAAACCUCUGUCCUUGGUGACGAAACAAAUGACGGUAGCCAAGGAGGAAGCUCCGGCUAACUACGUGCCAGCAGCCGCGGUAAUACGUAGGGAGCAAGCGUUGUCCGGAUUUACUGGGUGUAAAGGGUGCGUACGCGGCACUGCAAGUCAGGCGUGAAAUAUAUGGGCUUAACCCAUACACUGCGUUUGAAACUGUGGUGCUUGACUGAAGUAGAGGUAGGCGGAAUUCCCGGUGUAGCGGUGAAAUGCGUAGAGAUCGGGAGGAACACCAGUGGCGAAGGCGGCUUACUGGGCUUUAACUGACGCUGAGGCACGAAAGCAUGGGUAGCAAACAGGAUUAGAUACCCUGGUAGUCCAUGCCGUAAACGAUGAUUACUAGGUGUGGGGGGUCUGACCCCUUCCGUGCCGGAGUUAACACAAUAAGUAAUCCACCUGGGGAGUACGGCCGCAAGGUUGAAACUCAAAGGAAUUGACGGAAU
rnacentral:rRNA from 1 species